rnacentral:tRNA from 1 species
GUCGGAUAGCUCAGCUGGUAGAGCAGAGGACUGAAAAU